GACAGAGGUGGCAAGCGUUGUUCGGAUUUAUUGGGCGUAAAGAGCGCGUAGGCGGUCUCUUAAGUCGGUGGUGAAAUCCCGGGGCUUAACCCCGGAAUCGCCCUCGAUACUGGGAGACUUGAGUGCGGGAGAGGGUAGUGGAAUUCCCAGUGUAGAGGUGAAAUUCGUAGAUAUUGGGAAGAACACCGGUGGCGAAGGCGGCUACCUGGACCGCAACUGACGCUGAGGCGCGAAAGCGUGGGGAGCAAAC
rnacentral:rRNA from 1 species